GAAGGUUUGAUGCAAUUCCAAAAUGGCCACCUCCACACUGGUAAACUAUCAGACAUUCACAAGUCUUAAUUUCAGAUAAACCUACUAUAGCUAGCUUUGCUUAAAAUAAUUUCCCAUAAAUAAAUUAUUAGGUGACUGUGUCACUUUAAACAUCAACUUUCAAAAUGGAAUGCGAUCUGUAUUUAGAAACUGCUAUGGUCAGUAUGCAAGACAUUCCAUCCUGGCAUAAGGUCUUAUGGGGUCAGAUUGUGAGAUGGGUAAAAUAUGCCUUUCAUCCUUAAGGGGACACUGAGCACCGGAGCCAGUAUUGAGUGGUGUGCUGGUUAUGGUGCAAGGAGUCCCAGGCUCUGUACAGCUGCUCUCGGUCAAACCAUUGUGAGCAGUUUGACACGUAUCUUGCUCUAUGGGGGAGCCUGUGGUCCUUCUAUUCUGAGCUGCUAUGAUAAUAUGUAAAUGUAUCAUAAAUAGUUUAACAGGUAACCCUCGUACAGAGACUGGUGCCAAGUAAACAGGGAUACAUUUCUGCAAACAGAAAUUAGAAGGAAGGGACACUACUCAGCCAAGCUUAAAGAAUUACUAC